rnacentral:rRNA from 1 species
CGCCUUGCCAGCCCGCUCAGAAACUUAAAGGAAUUGACGGGGCCCGGCACAAGCGGUGGAGUAUGUGGUUUAAUUCGAUGCAACGCGAAGAACCUUACCUGGUCUUGACAUCCCGGAGACCCUUAGGAAACUAGGGGGUGCUUCCAUCUGGAAGAAUCUGGAGACAGGUGCUGCAUGGCUGUCGUCAGCUCGUGUCGUGAGAUGUUGGGUUAAGUCCCGCAACGAGCGCAACCCUUGCCUUUAGUUGCCAGCAGUUCGGCUGGGCACUCUAAAGGGACUGCCGGUGUUAAACCGGAGGAAGGUGGGGAUGACGUCAAGUCCUCAUGGCCUUUAUGACCAGGGCUACACACGUACUACAAUGGCCGAUACAAAGGGCAGCGACACUGCGAGGUGAAGCCAAUCCCGUAAAAUCGGUCUCAGUCCGGAUUGGAGUCUGCAACUCGACUCCAUGAAGUUGGAAUCGCUAGUAAUCGUGGAUCAGCAUGCCACGGUGAAUACGUUCCCGGGCCUU